GCACAGGCAGAGGCCAGAAUAGUUUUGAAGUGAAUACUGAGAAAAAUCCAGGAUUUCUGUGAGUCAGGCAUCUGGGUCAGAAGACAAGAAUUUCCAGGGGAAGUCCUCAGUCAUCCUGGUGCUUCCCCAAGUGAUGGUGGGAAUCUGACACUCAGAGGGAAUGAAGGGAACUGGAGGAAGAGCCAUCCUUGAGACAGUACAGCAAAGGACUUGGCUGAGUUAUGUCUCUGUCCUAAAACUUCUGGGAAGGCAGGAUUUAAAGCCCUGAACUAGGGAAGUUGGCUGAAGAAAUCUCUUAUGUGUUCGAGAGAGCAAGAUGCUGAGGCUACAGAGCUGAGAGAAACAAACUCCCAAGUAAAAAAGAGGAGAUAUCAUAAGGGUACCAAGUCAUAAUGUACUCACAGCCAAGUCUAGUGAUGAAGGCCCCACAUUGACAAAGAAAUACAAAGAAGCAACUACCAGGGCCUAAUGUAGCUUACUAAGAAUGGACGCUCAGCUGCCAUGGAAACAAAGCAAGUAGCAUCCUCUGGGACCAGCAAAAUACCAAAGUCCUUACUUCCUUAGGCCAGGGAGUUUGUCACCCAAUGGACUACAGAAGCCUAUCCAGUUGAAUAAGCUGUGGCCUCCUCUCUCCGGCCGACAGAGAACAGGUCAGGACUCUUCAUCCUGCUCUGAGACCUGAAGGAAACAUUCCCAAGUUCAUGUAUAAAGAGAAGAAUAUGCAGCAUGUAUGUCUAAUCUCCCCCUCAAGGCGACACACUUGAAAACAGAAAUCAAGAUUUAUCUCUCUAACUGUAAUCAUUCUAAAAGCCAGACAGAAUUAAUAGUGUUUCAUUUUGGGGGGAAAUUGUCUAAAGUUAAUAUAAAUUACUUAGGCUAUUAUUGAAAAAUCACAUAUAUAAAUCUGAUGUUUCUCUCAGGAUUGUGUUUGCAGAUUUAUAGACCCUAUGUAAUAUAAAUGAGAAUGAGGAAACAACGAUCUUAUUCAAUAUUCUCAUGCUGCACACAGUAAAUGGUCUAUAUCCACACCACUUUCUCUUUGCUCAGGCCACUCUGGCCUGCAGCUGCUCUCUGAAUCUACCAGGUUCUGUCCUGCGAUCCCUAAGUGGUGUAGCACAGGCUUUCUCUCGGAUGGAAGCCCUUUCAAUGUCCCUCCUUGUGAGUGACCUCCCUGAUUGCCUACUCAGCAUCACCCUCACCUCCAAACUCUCGCAGGUGUCCAAGCCCUUCGCUAUGGCUCAGCUCCAUCUGCCUGGGACAGCUUGGGUAUCACUACUAAAUUGCUUCAGAGGAACAUUUUGGAUUUUGUAUUCUUUCAGAUGUUGUAACAUUUUCAUUCACAUAAUGAGACGUCUUGGGAUGAAAACCAAGCCUAAGCAUGAAAUUCAUUUAUGUAUCACAUAUGCAUACCUGAAAUGUUAUAUAAUAUUUUUAGUGUGAAUAUAUUUUGACUAGGCCUGUCACAUCAAGUCAGGUAUAGAAUCUUUCCAUUUGUGGUCUCGUGUUAGCACUGAUGAGAACAUUUUCUAUUUCAGGACAUUUCAAAUGUCUCAUUUCUGAGUUAGGGAUGCUCAACCUGAAAUAGCCUUCGCUGGUUUUCCACUAGGCAGAGCUGCCCGAUAGGUGUGACUUAUGCAGCCACAUACAGCCCUACCCUCUAAGGAUCUACUCUUGGUUAUGCUCUGCCAUCACCCUUUUGAAUGCGUACUGCAUGAGGUCCAUCGGGAAACAGGAACAUGUGGCCAACGGAGCAGUUCACGUGUCCACUGUUCCUUUCUACCUCAUUUGCAUGUGGCUUUCUCAGUGUCCUAUGAAAAUAGAAUUCCAAAACAUGUGAAAGAUGAGUGAGACUCAAAGCCAAGUGCAUUUGUGAGUCAGCAGUGAGUAAGUACACUGACAGCCCCAAGAGGACAGAAAAAAAGGCAACUACAUUCUAAAUAGGAGCUAACUACCUAUCCCAGAUAGCAGGACGCAGAAAGAAAGCUGACACCACUUACAAUUCACUUUCCUUUUUUAUCAAGGUAGAAAAGUAGCAGGUAGAAUAUGGACAUCCCAUGGGGUGAAAUAAAACAACUGAUUGUUUGGGGUAGCAUUUUCACUGCAUAACUUUAGGGAUUCCAUAUGCAAGUUUAGAGGCCCCAUGUGAACAUUUAAAAAAAAAAAAAAACAAGCAUUGCAUAAUAUAAAAAUGAGAGUAAAUUUCAAAAUCAUUACUUAAUAUUUAAAAUAUUCUCCACACUGAAUUAUACUGAACAACAAAUUUUAAAAACGACCAUAAAUGAAGAGUCUGCAGAAAUACUGGUACUGUUUCCUGAAUUUUGAAUGAAGGGCUUCAGGCUUUCACUCUGCAUUGGAUCCAGCUAAUGAGACAGUGAGCCUGCCACUAUGACAGGAAUGUUCAGAACACAGGGCCUCUGCUUCAAGAACAGAUCUAUGUAAGUGUCGUACACAAUACCAUUUUGCGCUCGUUCAAUUUCAUUAAGUGUUUAUUAGACAUGAGGAAGAUGCAAUAAUACCAAAAGACCUUAGAAGCCAAGAAAACUCUUGUCCCCUUUUCUGCUCUGUGGGGGAUGUACCAUAGCCACAGAGCUACAUUUAGACAGGGGCAUAGACAAGGACCCAUCAGAGAACACCCGGGUCAAACUGGGUCCUAUGUUUGUUAGCUAUGUAAUCAAACAGAAGGGAAUGAACCCUGGUGAGUCUCAAUUUUCACUUUUGGGAAACACGGAUAAUAAAGCAUGUCAAAAGAUGAGGAAAGUGGAAGGCAAUUUGGAAAUAAGCUUGCUGUACAUUAAGUGUUUGUGUUUCAAAAGCUACCAGGUCUCUACAAAAGAUUAGCGGGAUAGCGGGUGGCCUCUCAGCAAGACCUGGGGAAGACAAGACGACCUAGGAGGAACAGAAACAACAAGGUCUACCAGUUGGAUGUCUGACACAGAAAACAUUUAAGAAUGAGUGUAAGAAGUUUCUCAGUAUAACCAAAGGAGGCAUAAUCACACCAUAAGGACAUUUGCUCAACUAGCAACAUCAUUCUUAAUAGCCAGAUCUUGGAAAUAACCUAGAUGCCCCUCAACUGAAGAAUGGACAAAGAAAAUGUGGUAUAUUUACACAAUGGAGUACUACUCAGUAGUAAGAAAUAAUGACAUCCUAAAGUUUUCAGGCAAAUGGACAGAACUAGUAAAAAUACAUCCUGAGUAAAGUAACCCAUACCCAGAAAGACAAAUAUAGUAUGUAUGCACUCAAAAGUGGAUACCAGACAUAAAGUAAAAGACACCCAGCCUAUAAUCCACAGCCCCAGAGAAGCUAGAACCCUCUUCCAGAAACAGAUGGAAGCAGAUGCAGAAAUCCACAACAAUCAUUGGGUUGAGCGGAGGAGAGAUAAUAUGAACAAAGGAGUCAAGUCCACGAUGGGGAAAGCCACAGAAUCAGCUGACCCAAGCUAGUGAGAGAUUACUGAAUGUGAUCUGAAACAUGGGGAACCUGCGUAAGACUGAACUAGACUCCCUUAAUACAGGUGACAAUGGUGCAGCUGGGACAAUAUAUGAGGCCACUGGCGCUAUUUAUGAAGACACUUCUGUGGCAUCCUGUGUGAUAAGUGUAUAUUAAAAUAAAUUAGCAUUAAAAAACACCCUUAAUCAAAGAAUCUUGGUUCUGUGGGUUGUAACUUAAAGGCAGAGCAAAUGCUUAAUAGGCAUGAGGUCCUGAUUCCCCACGCCAAAAAGAAACAAGACAAGCAUAGGAAGCACUGUGCAUUUCGUAACAUGUGUCUUCCCAUCACUUCUACAAAGCCAAUAUUCCAUUCAAAGUGGAAUCAAGUUUCCAAAAUUAAUGUUAAGGCAAAUUAAACAGAAUGACAAUGUCAAGUGUGUUCUCUCAAAUUGAGAAUCUAACUUUAGAAACAAAAAGACAUAAAAGUAAAACCACAUACAUUUUUUAUUGCUUUUCCUAUUGAAGAAUGAUUUGGAAUUUGUAUUGGGAUUGCACCAAACCUGUAGAUUGCUUUUGGUAGAAGGGUCAUUUUCAAUGACUAAUUCUUCUAAUCCAUGAGCAUGAGAGGUCUCUCCAUCUUUCAGCAUAUUUGUCAGUCUCUUUGGUCACUGAGUGAUUUUACUCUUGUUCUCCAAUCAUCCUGUAGAGUUCAACUUAACAAUACCCACUUUGGAAGCUUUCCUUGUCUCCUGGACACAUCUGGUCACCACUCCUCAGGCAGUGCUCUUCUGCCACCUGGACCUACUACUGUUCUUCAACAACACUUCCUGUUUCUUCUUUCUGGUAUACCUCAUCCCCAAUGGCAUGACUCACCUCUACCCUCCUAGUUCUCAGCACAGUGCAUUAUCACAUAUGUGAGGGACACACAAUGUGUUUCCUGAAUGAAUAGAAAGAGUCAUUGGAGAUGACAAGCCCAUUCUCUCUGGGUUGCUCUCCAUGCCACAGAACUCAGCCAAGCUCUAGGUAAUGGCCCUGGAUAAUCACAUCAAAUUGCUAUACACUCCAAAUUACUCUAAUUUCAACUUCAUUAAUUUGGCUGGCGUUUCCAAG
ensembl:lncRNA